rnacentral:siRNA from 1 species
AUACUUGGAGUUCUGUGUGUAUGA